AGUAGGCUGUGAGGUAAUUCUGUUAGGCCAUACGCUGAGAUCGCAGUCGACAUCGUUGCGCGUUGCAGCUGCAGUCGUAGCUGUGUCAUUAACCACAACAACUUUUGCGGGCAGGUCAAUGGGGGCGUGGUUUACAUUGAUUUAUUUUUAUACUAUUGCCGUUGAGUAUAUUGUACAGGGUAUGCCUAAAAAGGUCAAUCAAAAAAUCUGAAUUAGUCUAUUGAUCCUUAUAUCAAGAACUAUGAACUAGUUCUCAGCAUUUCAAUGCGUUACAAAUAUUCAUACUUAUCGAUUUGGCAGAAGUCAUCGAUAAGUGUAUAUAAAAGGAUUAUCUUAUGCAUUUUCAAUGCUAUUUAUUUAAUGUUAUCAAUUUUUUUAUUGCAGAGUAUCAGGUUUCUCUUCCACUCCGUCAAUCCUACAUGGCUUAACAUGUUUCUGUUAUUGUUGUUGCCAGCGGAAAGCAAAAGUUCAAAAACAUUUGAAAUGUUUGUCAAUGGAAAGUCGAAAAUUAGCAAAGCGUGAAUUACAAUUAAAAACAUACACAACUACUUUUACAUAUCGUUUUUCUACUGCCAUAUUUUCAAGUGUUCUUUGAGGCCCCAAAGUUGGUUAUCUUCACUUUUUCAUUUCUUGGCAUUGAGUAUGGAAUCUGAUAAGAUAAGUCUACCCACUAUUUGUUCUAUAUUGAAUUUAUCAAUUGCAAAUGCUUAUCAAGUCUCUCAUUACCCUAGGAAUAUGUGUUUGUAUGUGUGUGUUCUACGAUUUUAACGGAUUUUGGUGCAAAAAAAAAAAAAAAAAAAAUAAGGCUUUGUCAAUAUGUCAAAAAUUACGAAUGGCCGAUUCAUUAUUGACUUAAAGAGCCCAAGCAAUCGGGCUGAUAGCGGGCUUUUAAAGGUCUACAAUAACAUUUAUAAAUAUUCCAUGCCAAAUAUUUCGAAUGACACAAAAACCAAGAGGCAAACGCUGUGCACAUACAUAUAUAUCUAAUAUUACCAAGGUUCCGUCCGUUUCGUCGCAUUUAAUUGGCACAGCGCAUUUGGUUAUUUGGGUGUUACUUGAGCUGCCACCCGCAGGAAAUGCUUAAUCAAGCUGCAUAUGAAAUAAUGCAAAGUGAAGCCUCAAUAUAGUGGAAAACAUAUAGGCCAUCUAUGCAUCGUAUAUUAAAAUAUAUAAAAUAUUAUUAUAUAUGUAUAAUAUUUGCAUGAUUAUUCAACCAAUCGUUUAUUCCUAUAUAGCAAAAUAUAUAUAUUGUAUUUAUAAUAUAGGUCUUUUUUUCAGAUUGAGAUAUUUAUAGCUUUUUAUUGCUUAUUAUGUUUUUUUUAUGACAAUAUUCAAUAGUUUUUGCAUGAUUACAUCACUGUACAGUGCAGCUACGUUAUGAGAAACCAACAAAUUGUUAACAACAAAAUUAUAACAAUCUAAAACUGCUUUGUCAUAAAUAUUUUUACAGAUUUUCUCUUAUAUUAAAUGAAAUGUAAAAUCGACCACUUAUCACGAGGAGGGCCCACUGUAGCUAUUUAUGUAUGUGUGCGUGACGCACUACAAUGUGGACGAGGUGACGAUCGGCAAGGGUCGUCGAGUUUCGAGCAUUAAUCACAGCAAAUAAUGUGUGAAUGUCCCACAUGCAUAUAUCUAUGAUCUACAUAGGUUCGAUAUACGGACAUCAUACUUGACACUUGACUCACCUGACACUUUCUACCCAACAGCCGGAAUACGGCUUCGUUCUCCUCCUGGGUCAGUUGACUACUGGACGCAUUGUUUUUGGGCCGCGACAGCCCGGCUGCCUGCUGACCCUGCGGCUCCUGUGACCUCAUACUGCUCGUACUAAUCAUUUAGGCGGCGGCGCAACGGCUGUGCUGUAUAUAUUGUAUAUUAUGAAUACAUUUAUUAAAAAACAGCAACUCGAUAACUCGCGCAGUAACGGUAAAACGAGACAAGCGUAUUAAUUGAAUAAGCACCAAACACACACAGUGAACCUCAAAUAAAACGAAUCACAGUUAUGGCGAAUAUGUG